rnacentral:SRP_RNA from 1 species
GCUGGGUAUGGUGGUGCAUGCCUGUAAUCCCAGCUACUCGGGAAGCUGAGGCAGGAGAAUCACUUGAACCUGGGAAGCAGAGGUUGCAGUGAGCCAAGAUCACACCACUGCACUCUAGCCUGGGUGACAGAGUGAGACUCUGUCUCAA